rnacentral:rRNA from 1 species
UACGUAGGGUGCAAGCGUUGUCCGGAUUUAUUGGGCGUAAAGAGCUCGUAGGCGGUUUGAUAAGUCGGGUGUGAAAUCUCCAGGCUCAACCUGGAGCUGCCACUCGAUACUGUCAUGACUUGAAUUCGGUAGGGGACCACGGAGUUCCUGGUGUAGCGGUGGAAUGCGCAGAUAUCAGGAGGAACACCAAUAGCGAAGGCAGCUCGCUGGGACGUUACUGACGCUGAGGCGCGAAAGCGUGGGGAGCGAACAGG